AACGAACGCUGGCGGCAUGCCUAACACAUGCAAGUCGAACGAGACCUUCGGGUCUAGUGGCGCACGGGUGCGUAACGCGUGGGAACCUGCCCUUAGGUUCGGAAUAACUCCCCGAAAGGGGUGCUAAUACCGGAUAAUGUCUUCGGACCAAAGAUUUAUCGCCUUUGGAUGGGCCCGCGUUGGAUUAGCUAGUUGGUAGGGUAAAAGCCUACCAAGGCGACGAUCCAUAGCUGGUCUGAGAGGAUGAUCAGCCACACUGGGACUGAGACACGGCCCAGACCGGUAGGGGAGGUAGCAGGGGGGAAGAUGGGAGAAUGGGCGAAGGGGUGAGGCAGAAAUGACGCGUGUGUGAAGAAGGUCUUUGGAUUGGAAAGAACAUUAAGGUGGGAGGAAGAGCAGGAAGCUAAUACCUGGCGGGUUGGAAGUGACCAAGAGAAUAAGAACCGGCUAAAUGAGU
rnacentral:rRNA from 1 species